rfam:Echinostoma caproni strain Egypt genome assembly, scaffold: ECPE_scaffold0000230
GCACUGCUGACGAGUCCCAAACAGGAUAAAACAGCUGUCCAGUGC